GCGGGCGAUGCUUUACCAUGCAAGUCGAACGGUAACAGGGGGCUUGCUCCGCUGACGAGUGGCGAACGGGUGAGUAAUAUAUCGGAACGUACCCAAGAGUGGGGGAUAACGUAGCGAAAGUUACGCUAAUACCGCAUACGAUCUAUGGAUGAAAGCAGGGGACCUUCGGGCCUUGUGCUCCUGGAGCGGCCGAUAUCUGAUUAGCUAGUUGGUGAGGUAAAGGCUCACCAAGGCGACGAUCAGUAGCUGGUCUGAGAGGACGACCAGCCACACUGGAACUGAGACACGGUCCAGACUCCUACGGGAGGCAGCAGUGGGGAAUUUUGGACAAUGGGCGCAAGCCUGAUCCAGCAAUGCCGCGUGAGUGAAGAAGGCCUUCGGGUUGUAAAGCUCUUUUGUCAGGGAAGAAACGGCUGUGGCUAAUAUCCACGGCUAAUGACGGUACCUGAAGAAUAAGCACCGGCUAACUACGUGCCAGCAGCCGCGGUAAUACGUAGGGUGCAAGCGUUAAUCGGAAUUACUGGGCGUAAAGCGUGCGCAGGCGGUUUUGUAAGUCUGUCGUGAAAUCCCCGGGCUCAACCUGGGAAUUGCGAUGGAGACUGCAAGGCUAGAAUCUGGCAGAGGGGGGUAGAAUUCCACGUGUAGCAGUGAAAUGCGUAGAGAUGUGGAGGAACACCGAUGGCGAAGGCAGCCCCCUGGGUCAAGAUUGACGCUCAUGCACGAAAGCGUGGGGAGCAAACAGGAUUAGAUACCCUGGUAGUCCACGCCCUAAACGAUGUCUACUAGUUGUCGGGUUUUAAUUAACUUGGUAACGCAGCUAACGCGUGAAGUAGACCGCCUGGGGAGUACGGUCGCAAGAUUAAAACUCAAAGGAAUUGACGGGGACCCGCACAAGCGGUGGAUGAUGUGGAUUAAUUCGAUGCAACGCGAAAAACCUUACCUACCCUUG
rnacentral:rRNA from 1 species